GCUCGUAGUUGGAUUUGUGGCGUGGUCGUCCGGCGGGGCUCCUUCAUUGGGGCCGUUUGUCUGGUUUUCUACCGCACCAUUCUCGGGUAGUGUGUCGCUGGCAUUAGGUUGUCGGCUUCUUCACGCCCGUCGUUUACCGUGAAAAAAUUAGACUGUUCAAAGCAGGCUUAGGCCGUUGGAUACAUUAGCAUGGAAUAAUGAGAUAGGGCCACGACUGUCUAUUUUGUUGGUUUGCACGUUGUGGUAAUGAUUAGUAGGAACGGUUGGGGGUAUUCGUAUUCAAUUGUCAAAGGUGAAAUUCUUGGAUUUAUGGAACACGAAAUACUGCCAAAACAUUUACCGAGGAUGUUUUCCUUAAUCAUAAACGAAAGUUAAGGGAUCGAAGAUGAGAAGAUACCAUCGUAUUCCUGACUUUAACCUAUGCCGACAACGGAUUGGCGGUCGUUAAUUUAAGGACUCCGUCUGCACCUUCCGAGAAAUCAAAGUCCU
rnacentral:rRNA from 1 species